CUUAUAUCAAAAAUUUGUUCCACAAAGGAGCGGUUGUUGAACUUUGUCAAAUUUAUGUAAUAUAAGGCAUGCAAGGUACAUAUUGUCAAUGUAUAGUGUCCAGCUAGGAUCGUUGUUUUUCGAGUGAUUUGAUCAGGUUUUUCCGAGUGUGACCACUAUUUUUCGAGUGAAUAUGAUCAAAAAAUUUAAAAAAAAAACAGACUUCCUUUCUGACAAGACGUGAUAAAGAAGCUAGAUUUUAAUAUACAAGGUGUGUUAGUAUUUGAUAAAAAGAUAUUAUCAAUCCGACAUUAUUUUUCGUUAAAAAAAUGUUGAAUGUAGCCUUUCAAUGCUUUUAUUAAAAAAAAAACAAAACAAUAAAGCCAUUUUUAUACACAUACCAAUGCAAAUGUCGAUCGAAAGGCAUACAUGGAAACCUUAUAUCCUUUGACAUACAGACACUUUCUAGGCAUUUUCGAGAGCAGUCCGGGAUUUUUUUAGUGCGUCCGUGUUUUAUCGAGUGAUUGUACAAAUUUCCUAUAGCUUAAAAUGUUUUGUGUAACUGUAUUAACGUUUAAAAACAAUAAAAAAAAAGGGUUCAAACUAUGUACGUUCAUUUGUAUAUAUUGUUGAUUGUCACAUCAUAUAAAUUACAUGUACAGUAUAUAUUCAUGAUGUCAACAAUCUAAUGUUAGCAUAGACAAUUUGGACUGAGACGCACGUACAUCUAGUGCGUAAAGCUGAUGAACUAUUUAUUUCAUUGUUAACUAUAUAUGGAAUUUAAUUCAAAUGUUAUUGUUAAUGGGGAUAAAAACAGGUCGGAUUAAUUGUGUGUAUGUUUUUUUUUUGUUGUUAUUACUGAAUUUUGUUUUGUGGCUACCUCUUUCAGUAGAAUAUUUUUUAUUACAUAGCAUUUUUCUGAUUCUUCUCUGCUGUCCAGUAGGUUUCUUACUCCUUUUUUAAAUAAACAGCUGCGCCAUGGGAGCAUGAUACUCUCGUCGCCUUUUCUAAGAAUAAAGUUCAUUAACUUACGGUUGUGGCUAAUUAUCUAUUUCUUGCAUGAAUAGACAUUUCUCGUAUCACUCUGCACGGAGUGUGAUAUGAAAAUCUGCGUUAAUUGUAUUUGCUUAUCCAGCAUCAUAAGACGAUAUUACGGCAUUUCCAUUUGGCUAUUCGUUAGGUCAUUGAUGAC
rnacentral:lncRNA from 1 species